AGCUCUUCUUUGCCAUCAGGCUGAGAUCAUGUGUAGUAUCUGUUCUUACCACUUUGAUCGGUGGUGCAGGUGGUUACGGCCAUCCUCCCGAUUACAAUUUUUGUACCAAGGUGGUUGAAGCUCAGGUUUUCCCUGGGUUUCAUCUUCCUACUGUGUUCUCAGACUUACACUACCUCUGAGUAACGCGAAUUUUUG
rfam:Glarea lozoyensis ATCC 20868 chromosome Tnknown GLAREA10, whole genome shotgun sequence.